GUUCCGGUGCCAUGCAACAGUUCACUUAUAUAGUUCUAUUUUUCCACUUCGAAGCUUAUGAGAUGCAUUAAUAUUCAUGUAAUCUAAAUAAUAAGAUCACUUGUUAAAAAAAAAAAAAAAAAAAAAAAAACUUCAGAAUCUAUAUUUUUAUGUGAGGGUCGAUGGCUGUCUCGUUUGUAAGGCUGCGUCCUCCGGAGGUCGCAUUUGUCGGCCGCACACGUCAUCGAAGCUGUCUCGUUUCAUAAAAGCGAGUAGGACACUUCAAAUGCGACCUUCUUUCACGGGAAUUCGGAGGAUGCAUGAGGUGUAUCCUUCGUGGGCACUCACAACCCACAAUUCUUUGCUUCACGGAAACGUCUAAAAUAAAAUUACGCCAAUUAGCCCGUAAAUAUGAUGUUCAAACGCAAGUAAUGUCAAUUCCCAAGUUGAAGUAGCUCAGUAGAUGGGUGCAGAGUAUAUAAUAUGUAUAAUUAUAUUAAUAUAUAAUUAAAAUAAAGUAUUAGACUAAAAAUACACCUGUAAAAUCUAUUUUCUUUUCUCUCUACAUCAUUAUAACUCCCCUAAAUUUUACAUCAUACAUUCCCUUCUAAAGGGACUUUGUUCCCUUCUCACUCGAAGCGCUCGCGCAUGUUAAAGAGUGGGUGCUGUCAUAGCAACCAUGUUACAUUCGGUUUCCAUUUGUCCUAUUAUGGUCUCGUUUAAACGAGACUUGUUUAAAGGAGGACGCUCGGUAUACCGCAGCCUUCAAAGGACGCAUCCUACUAGCAUGCAGCCUUCCAAACGAGACACAGCCGAUAUUCUUGAAACCACAUCAAUAUCGGAAGUAUGGAUACUUUAGUAUGAUCCCCCCAUCCCUAAUCAAGGAGCAUGCACAGUUUACAUGCAACAUGAUGCCUGCUAACUUAAAAACAAGUGGACGCGAUCAGCAGAAAAAUCUCACUGUGAUUUAAGUUAUUUACUGAGGACGUAUAUGGCUGAGAAGACCAAAGAAUUUAGAGUGUACUGGAGAAAUGGCGCUCCCUGCUCCUUAUCACAAGAUGAUGAAAACAGUUGUGGGGCUUUUGUGCUACUGGUGAGGCAUUACAACGCUCCACGGCCACAAUCUUGUUUCUUUAUGUAAUGUUUUCCUUUCAAUAAAAGAGUGGACUUUACGUAUAAUUCUAAUUAUUGUUAUUUGACCAGAAUGCUCUUGUGCUGACUAGAGGCAUCAGUCCCAGACAACUGACACAACCACACAAAAUGUCAUGUUGUAUACCAGUGUGUGUAAAGUGUACCCAAAUGUGCAGUCUUUUGUAGUAAUAUGCACAACAGUUUAUAAUAUUUUACGAGAUACUGAAUGUUUUUAAUAAUUUAUAAAUAAUACAAUAAGCAAACAGACUUA